UGGGGAAUAUUGGACAAUGGGCGCAAGCCUGAUCCAGCCACGCCGCGUGAGUGAUGAAGGCCUUCGGGUCGUAAAGCUCUGUGGGGAGGGACGAACCGCCGCUGGCUAAUAUCCAGCGGCAUGACGGUACCUCCUUAGCAAGCACCGGCUAACUUCGUGCCAGCAGCCGCGGUAAUACGAAGGGUGCAAACGUUGCUCGGAAUCAUUGGGCGUAAAGCGCACGUAGGCGGCUUCGCAAGUCGGAUGUGAAAUCCCGUGGCUCAACCAUGGACGUGCAUCCGAAACUGUGAGGCUUGAGUAUGGAAGAGGGUCGCGGAAUUCCCGGUGUAGAGGUGAAAUUCGUAGAUAUCGGGAGGAACACCAGUGGCGAAGGCGGCGACCUGGGCCAAUACUGACGCUGAGGUGCGAAAGCGUGGGGAGCAAA
rnacentral:rRNA from 1 species